rnacentral:rRNA from 1 species
ACGCUGGCGGCACGCCUAACACAUGCAAGUCGAACGCAGUAGCAAUACUGAGUGGCAAACGGGUGAGUAACAUGUGGGUAUCUGCCCUUCGGCCUGGAAUAACACGAGGAAACUUGUGCUAAUACCGGAUAAGUCUUUACAGAGAAAGCUUUAUGCACCGAUGGAUGAGCCCGCACCUGAUUAGUUAGUUGGUGAGGUAAUGGCUCACCAAGACAAUGAUCAGUAGCUGAUUUGAGAGGAUGAUCAGCCACAUUGGGACUGAGACACGGCCCAAACUCCUACGGGAGGCAGCAGUGGGGAAUCUUGCACAAUGGGGGAAACCCUGAUGCAGCGAUGCCGCGUGAGUGAAGAAGGCCCUUGGGUUGUAAAGCUCUUUCGUCGGGGAAGAAAAUGACUGUACCCGAAUAAGAAGGUCCGGCUAACUUCGUGCCAGCAGCCGCGGUAAUACGAAGGGACCUAGCGUAGUUCGGAAUUACUGGGCUUAAAGAGUUCGUAGGUGGUUAAAAAAGUUGGUGGUGAAAUCCCAGAGCUUAACUCUGGAACUGCCAUCAAAACUUUUUAGCUAGAGUAUGAUAGAGGAAAGUAGAAUUUCUAGUGUAGAGGUGAAAUUCGUAGAUAUUAGAAAGAAUACCGAUUGCGAAGGCAACUUUCUGGAUCAUUACUGACACUGAGGAACGAAAGCAUGGGUAGCGAAGAGGAUUAGAUACCCUCGUAGUCCAUGCCGUAAACGAUGUGUGCUAGACGUUGGAAAUUUAUUUUCAGUGUCGCAGCAAAAGCAUUAAGCACACCGCCUGGGGAGUACGACCGCAAGGUUAAAACUCAAAUGAAUUGACGGGGACCCGCACAAGUAGUGGAGCAUGUGGUUUAAUUCGAAGAUACGCGCAGAACCUUACCAACACUUGACAUGUUCGUCGCGACUCUAAGAGAUUAGAGUUUUCGGUUCGGCCGGACGAAACACAGGUGCUGCAUGGCUGUCGUCAGCUCGUGUCGUGAGAUGUUGGGUUAAGUCCCGCAACGAGCGCAACCCUCACUUUUAGUUGCCAUCAUUAAGUUGGGCACUCUGAAAGAACUGCCAGUGAUAAGCUGGAGGAAGGUGGGGAUGACGUCAAGUCCUCAUGGCCCUUACGUGUUGGGCUACACACGUGCUACAAUGGCAUCUACAACAGGAAGCAAAACGGCAACGUUAAGCAAAUCCCGAAAAGAUGCCUCAGUUCGGAUUGCACUCUGCAACUCGAGUACAUGAAGCUGGAAUUACUAGUAAUCGUGGAUCAGCGUGCCACGGUGAAUGCGUUCCCGGGUCUUGUACACACCGC